UGGGGAAUAUUGCACAAUGGGCGAAAGCCUGAUGCAGCGACGCCGCGUGAGGGAUGACGGCCUUCGGGUUGUAAACCUCUUUCAGUAGGGAAGAAGCGAAAGUGACGGUACCUGCAGAAGAAGCGCCGGCUAACUACGUGCCAGCAGCCGCGGUAAUACGUAGGGCGCAAGCGUUAUCCGGAAUUAUUGGGCGUAAAGAGCUCGUAGGCGGUUUGUCGCGUCUGCUGUGAAAGACCGGGGCUCAACUCCGGUUCUGCAGUGGGUACGGGCAGACUAGAGUGAUGUAGGGGAGACUGGAAUGCCUGGUGUAGCAGUGAAAUGCACAGAUAUCAGGAGGAACACCGAUGGCGAAGGCAGGUCGCUGGGCAUUAACUGACGCUGGGGAGCGAAAGCAUGGGGAGCGAACAGG
rnacentral:rRNA from 1 species